CCCUUAGAUGUUCUGGGCCGCACGCGUGCUACACUGAGUGGAUCAGCGGGUCAGGUUGCGCGAAAGUGUUUCCUAAUCUUGAAAUCCGCUCGUGAUGGGGAUUGACGGUUGCAAUUUUCCGUCAUGAACGAGGAAUACCUUGUAAGCGCGGGUCAUCAUCCCGCGCUGAAUACGUCCCUGCCCUUUGUACACACCGCCCGUCGCUCCUACCGAUUGAGUGGUCCGGUGAGGCUUUGGGAUCUGAGCGGAAAGAGCGUUUCGCUGUUUCUGCUCGGAAAACUCAGUCGAACCUUAUCAUUUAGAGGAAGGAGAAGUUGUAACA
rnacentral:rRNA from 1 species